rnacentral:rRNA from 1 species
GAUGAACGCUGGCGGCGUGCCUAAUACAUGCAAGUCGAGCGAACAGACCAGGAGCUUGGGCCUCUCACGUUAGCGACGGGCGAGUGAGUAACGCGUGGAUAACCUACCACUAAGAGUGAGGUAAGUUCAGGUAGCCGGAGCUAAUACCAGGUGAUAUAUUGAACGGCAUGGUUCGAUAGUUAAAGACGGUUUUGAUGUCCCUUCUGGCUGGAUGCGCGGCGCAUUAGCUAGUUGGUAAGGUAGCGGCUUACCAAGGCCAGCAUGCGUAGCCGACCUGAGAGCGUGAUGCGCCACACUGGAACUGGGAGACGGUCCAGACACCUACGGGAGGCAGAAGUAGGGAAUCUUCCGCAAUGGGCGGAAGACUGAAGGAUCAACGCCGCGCUAGUGAUGAAGGUCUUCGGAUCGUAAAACUCUCUUAUUAGGGAAGAACAAAUGCGUAAGUAACUAUGCACGUCGUGACGGUACCUAAUCAGAAAGCCACGGCUAACUACGUG